UUUCCGUAGGUGAACCUGCGGAAGGAUCAUUAAUGCUUCUCCAGUAUCAACCAAAUUGUGAAACAAGUUUCCGUCUUCAACGACAGAAGAAGGCCUCAGCAAUGGGGUCUUCUUGUUGAGGAUUGGUUUUCAUCUUCUAUUUUUAACCCCAAGUAAACAAUUCUGAACUGAAAAAAUCUUUGUGACUGAAAAGUUGCAAAGCAAGAAAACGAAAUUAAGAAACAACUCUUAACAACGGAUAUCUUGGCUCUC
rnacentral:misc_RNA from 1 species